rnacentral:rRNA from 1 species
UACGUAGGGGGCAAGCGUUGUCCGGAUUUAUUGGGCGUAAAGAGCGUGUAGGCGCCAAGCAGGUCAGCUGUGAAAACUCGAGGCUCAACCUCGAGACGUCGGUUGAAACCGCUUGGCUAGAGUCCGGAAGAGGAGAGUGGAAUUCCCGGUGUAGCGGUGAAAUGCGCAGAUAUCGGGAAGAACACCCGUGGCGAAGGCGGCUCUCUGGGGACGGUACUGACGCUGAGACGCGAAAGCGUGGGGAGCGAACAGG